rnacentral:rRNA from 1 species
AGUGAACGCUGGCGGUAGGCCUAACACAUGCAAGUCGAACGGCAGCACAGUAAGAGCUUGCUCUUACGGGUGGCGAGUGGCGGACGGGUGAGGAAUACAUCGGAAUCUACUUUUUCGUGGGGGAUAACGUAGGGAAACUUACGCUAAUACCGCAUACGACCUACGGGUGAAAGCAGGGGAUCUUCGCACCUUGCGCGAUUGAAUGCGCCGAUGUCGGAUUAGCUAGUUGGCGGGGUAAAGGCCCACCAAGGCGGCGAUCCGUAGCUGGUCUGAGAGGAUGGUCAGCCACACUGGAACGGAGACACGGUCCAGACUCCUACGGGAGGCAGCAGUGGGGAAUAUUGGACAAUGGGCGCAAGCCUGAUCCAGCCAUACCGCGUGGGUGAAGAAGGCCUUCGGGUUGUAAAGCCCUUUUGUUGGGAAAGAAAAGCAGCAGGUUAAUACCCCGCUGUUCUGACGGUACCCAAAGAAUAAGCACCGGCUAACUUCGUG